UCCAGUUAGUUUUCUCAUCGAUAAAUGACUUAAUACAUCAACAACACAUAUAAUGGAAUAAUCAUCUACAUGUUGAUUAUUGUCUUUUAAAAUUCACAAGACAUCUGACCAAAAAAAAAAUUAUUUAAAAAAAAAUCAAAAGAAUAUAAAAGUCGUCCACUCAACACAACACUCGACCAGAAACCGGAAAAUUAAACCGAUCAACAUUCGAAAAUCUACCCGAAGAAAACCGAACAGGAUUACUAUAACCGAUAAUUAACCGAUCAGUAAACCGAGCCGAUUCGUAUCCUUUAUCCCUCUUCCCAAACCCAACAAUCGAUUUCUCAAUCUGCCCAUAAUUAUCCUCUAAAUUACCAAUAAUACCCUUGACCUCAAGAACCAAACCCCAGAACCCAUCAAUCCAACCUCUCUUCCAAUUCCCAUGGCAGAUUUCAGACAACCUCUCUUUACAACUCUCGAGCCGCUUCAAAGCACAGACAAGCUCGAUCGUAUCUCCAAAGCUCAAAGUGUUGGAUCGUUCUUUAAACUCGUUGAAUCUCGUGUAAAGCUCGUUGAUCGAAGACACGUAGUCUUCUCCUACCAACUGAGUGAUUUUGUCUGCGAGGGAUUUCCCACCGGAGAAGGGUAGAUCCGGAAUUUUACAUGCUUCUUCUAGUAGACCAACGAGAGCAUCGAUCUCACGAAGCAGAUCAGAGUUGGUAAGAGAAGAAACCAUUUCUUCGUAUUCCUCUUUGUGAAUUGUACUCGAUGUUGAAGAUAUGAAAAAUCCCAUGAUUCUUGAAGUUGAUAAUAGAUGCUCAAGAUAUAAAGCGUACCUACAAUAAUAAUCAAAAAACAUAUAAAAAUCCAAACUUAGUCGAAACUUUUUUUUUUUUUUUUGUGAACUUACCAUCGGACCCAAGAAGAAAGCUCCCACAUCAAAGGAGAUUUCUCAUCUCUAAAAGCAGAAAGUUUCAGAUAAUUCCGACCACCGGAAGCUGGAAAUACAGAGAGCUGAUCUUGGAGGAUGAAACGACCGUGUUUGACGAUGUGAUGGAUAAUGAUCAAAGACUUGAGAGCUACGCAAGCAUCUCCGGUGGUGUGAAGACGUUCCAUUAUGGAUUCGACAGCUGAAGAAGCGGUGGCUCGUGAGCCAGUACCGGCGGAGAGAAUAACGGCGAGGUGACGAUUCCCCGGCGGCGUUGAAGGGUCAUGAGUAGUGGCACGGAGGACAGAGAGAUGGAAAGAGAGAGUUUUGCUUUUAGUGUUUGAUGAUACUAAAGCAGCUUUGCUUUGAGAAGCUUUGUCUUUGAUUCUACCUAUUAGAUCUGCAAAACUUGUUAUUCUUCCCAUCGAUGAAUCGACGAUGAUCUACUACACCAGGUAGAUAUGACUUGUUUUGUUUUUCUUGCUUUUUGAUGGACUAAAAAGAAGAUAAUAUAUAGUAGUUUUUUUUGGUCAAUAAAGGAAACUGUUUUAUUCUAUGCAAGUAUGCAACCAACAUGGGUCAAAUAAUCAAUAUAUAUGGAG